rnacentral:rRNA from 1 species
GAUGAACGCUGGCGGCGUGCCUAAUACAUGCAAGUCGAGCGAACGGACGAGAAGCUUGCUUCUCUGAUGUUAGCGGCGGACGGGUGAGUAACACGUGGAUAACCUACCUAUAAGACUGGGAUAACUUCGGGAAACCGGAGCUAAUACCGGAUGAUAUUUUGAACCGCAUGGUUCAAAAGUGAAAGACGGUCUUGCUGUCACUUAUAGAUGGAUCCGCGCUGCAUUAGCUAGUUGGUAAGGUAACGGCUUACCAAGGAAACGAUGCAUAGCCGACCUGAGAGGGUGAUCGGCCACACUGGGACUGAGACACGGUCCAGACUCCUACGGGAGGCAGCAGUAGGGAAUCUUCCGCAAUGGGCGAAAGCCUGACGGAGCAACGCCGCGUGAGUGAUGAAGGUCUUCGGAUCGUAAAACUCUGUUAUUAGGGAAGAACAUAUGUGUAAGUAACUGUGCACAUCUUGACGGUACCUAAUCAGAAAGCCACGGCUAACUACGU